rnacentral:tRNA from 2 species
GCGCUCGUAGCUCAGUGGAUAGAGCAGCGGACUUCUAAUCCGCAGGCCGUGGGUUCGAAUCCUACCGAGCGCGCCA